CGUGCACUCCUACGGGAGGCAGCAGUGGGGAAUUUUGGACAAUGGGCGAAAGCCUGAUCCAGCAAUGCCGCGUGAGUGAAGAAGGCCUUCGGGUUGUAAAGCUCUUUUGUCAGGGAAGAAACGGUGAAAGCUAAUAUCUUUUGCUAAUGACGGUACCUGAAGAAUAAGCACCGGCUAACUACGUGCCAGCAGCCGCGGUAAUACGUAGGGUGCAAGCGUUAAUCGGAAUUACUGGGCGUAAAGCGUGCGCAGGCGGUUUUGUAAGUCUGAUGUGAAAUCCCCGGGCUCAACCUGGGAAUUGCAUUGGAGACUGCAAGGCUAGAAUCUGGCAGAGGGGGGUAGAAUUCCACGUGUAGCAGUGAAAUGCGUAGAUAUGUGGAGGAACACCGAUGGCGAAGGCAGCCCCCUGGGUCAAGAUUGACGCUCAUGCACGAAAGCGUGGGGAGCAAACAGGAUUAGAAACCCCGGUAGUCCCA
rnacentral:rRNA from 1 species